rnacentral:rRNA from 1 species
AUUGAACGCUGGCGGCAGGCCUAACACAUGCAAGUCGAGCGAGCGGCGGACGGGUGAGUCAUGUAUGGGGACUGCCCGAUAGAGGGGGAUAACUACUGGAAACGGUGGCUACUACCGCAUACUAUCGGAUAACCCAUAUGGGAUUAGCUAGUAGGUGGGGUAAAGGCUCACCUAGGCAACGAUCUCUAGCUGGUCGGAGAGGGUGAUCAGCCACACUGGAACGGAGACACGGCCCAUACUCCUACGGAGGCAGCAGUAGGGAAUAGUGCACAAUGGGCGCAAGCCUGAUGCAGCCAUGCCGCGGGUAUGAAGAAGGCCUUAGGAUUGUAAAGUACUUUCAGCGGGGAGGCGUUACCCGCAGAAGAAGCACCGGCUAACUCCGUGCCAGCAGCCGCGGUAAUUC